rnacentral:rRNA from 1 species
CCUACGGGUGGCAGCAGUGAGGAAUAUUGGUCAAUGGCCGCAAGGCUGAACCAGCCAAGCCGCGUGAAGGACGACGGUGCCAAGCAUUGUAAACUUCUUUUGUCAAGGGACAAAAUCAGGCUCGAGAGCCUGACCGAGGGUACUUUAAGAAAAAGCAUCGGCUAACUCCGUGCCAGCAGCCGCGGUAAUACGGAGGAUGCGAGCGUUAUCCGGAUUUAUUGGGUUUAAAGGGUGCGUAGGCGGACUGUUAAGUCAGCGGUAAAAGCCCGGGGCUAAACCCCGGCGAGCCGUUGAAACUGGCGGUCUUGAGAUGUCGAGAGGUAUGCGGAAUGCGCAGUGUAGCGGUGAAAUGCUUAGAUAUUGCGAAGAACUCCGAUUGCGAAGGCAGCAUACCGGCGGCGCUCUGACGCUGAGGCACGAAAGCGUGGGUAUCGAACAGGAUUAGAUACCCUUGUAGUC